rnacentral:rRNA from 1 species
CGCGUAGGUGGUUGCGUCAGUCGGAUGUGAAAUCCCCAGGCUUAACCUGGGAACUGCAUCCGAUACUGCGUGACUCGAGUGCAGCAGAGGGAAACGGAAUUCCUGGUGUAGAGGUGAAAUUCGUAGAUAUCAGGAGGAACACCGGUGGCGAAGGCGGUUUCCUGGGCUGACACUGACACUGAGGCGCGAAAGCGUGGGUAGCAAACAGGAUUAGAUACCCUGGUAGUCCACGCUGUAAACGGUGAGCGCUGGGUGUGGGAGGUGUAAUGCCUUCUGUGCCGAAGCUAACGCGUUAAGCACUCCGCCUGGGGAGUACGGCCGCAAGGUUGAA